rnacentral:piRNA from 1 species
UGCCAUAAUACGGCUGCCUGAUUUGUGUGU